GUUGGGCAUGGUGGUGCAUGCCUGUAGUCCUAGUUACUCAGGAAGCUGAGGCAGGAGGAUCACUUGAGCCCAGGAGUUCCAGGCUGCAGUGAGCUAUGAUUGUGACACUGCACUCCAGCCUGGGUGACAGGGGGAGACCCCGACUCUA
rnacentral:SRP_RNA from 1 species